CCUACGGGUGGCUGCAGUCGAGAAUCAUUCACAAUGGGGGAAACCCUGAUGGUGCGACGCCGCGUGGGGGAAUGAAGGUCUUCGGAUUGUAAACCUCUUUCAUGUGGGAGCAAAUUAAAAAGAUAGUACCACAAGAGGAAGAGACGGCUAACUCUGUGCCAGCAGCCGCGGUAAUACAGAGGUCUCAAGCGUUAUUCGGAAUCACUGGUCGUAAAGCGUGCGUAGGCUGUUUCGUAAGUCGUGUGUGAAAGGCUCGGGCUCAACCCGAGGACGGCACAUGAUACUGGGAGACUAGAGUAAAGGAGAGGGAACCGGAAUUCUCGGUGUAGCAGUGAAAUGCGGAGAUAUCGAGAAGAACACUCGUGGCGAAGGCGGGUUACUGGACAUCAACUGACGCUGAGGCACGAAGGCCAGGGGAGCGAAAGGGAUUAGAUACCCUAGUAGUC
rnacentral:rRNA from 1 species